rnacentral:misc_RNA from 1 species
GUAGGUGAACCUGCGGAAGGAUCAUUAUUAAAUUGGGGGGCUAUGCUCUCCUGCGUGUUUGGCCUUGUGCUAUAUCGCAAAAACACUUGUGUUGUUGCAUUAUGUGUGGUUUGGCGGGGGGAGUGGGUGCACCAUUAUUGUGUGUUGCCUACAACAACACGCCAUCUCGGCAUCCCGUCAAUACCUUUAAUAAAAACCAUUUUGAACCUAUUUUGACUAAACAUACGUAUUAUUGUGUUGGCCUUUUGGUCACUAAAAACAACAUUUAUACAACUGUUAGCAACGGAUCACUUGGUUCUC